rnacentral:rRNA from 1 species
GCUUUCGCACCUGAGCGUCAGUCUUUGUCCAGGGGGCCGCCUUCGCCACCGGUAUUCCUCCAGAUCUCUACGCAUUUCACCGCUACACCUGGAAUUCUACCCCCCUCUACAAGACUCUAGCCUGCCAGUUUCGAAUGCAGUUCCCAGGUUGAGCCCGGGGAUUUCACAUCCGACUUGACAGACCGCCUGCGUGCGCUUUACGCCCAGUAAUUCCGAUUAACGCUUGCACCCUCCGUAUUACCGCGGCUGCUGGCACGGAGUUAGCCGGUGCUUCUUCUGCGAGUAACGUCAAUCACUGUGGUUAUUAACCACAAUGCCUUCCUCCUCGCUGAAAGUACUUUACAACCCGAAGGCCUUCUUCAUACACGCGGCAUGGCUGCAUCAGGCUUGCGCCCAUUGUGCAAUAUUCCCCACUGCUGCCUCCCGUAGGAGUCUGGACCGUGUCUCAGUUCCAGUGUGGCUGGUCAUCCUCUCAGACCAGCUAGGGAUCGUCGCCUAGGUGAGCCAUUACCCCACCUACUAGCUAAUCCCAUCUGGGCACAUCUGAUGGCAAGAGGCCCGAAGGUCCCCCUCUUUGGUCUUGCGACGUUAUGCGGUAUUAGCUACCGUUUCCAGUAGUUAUCCCCCUCCAUCAGGCAGUUUCCCAGACAUUACUCACCCGUCCGCCGCUCGUCACCCGAGAGCAAGCUCUCUGUGCUACCGCUCGACUUGCAUGUGUUAGGCCUGCCGCCAGCGUUCAAU